rnacentral:tRNA from 1 species
GGGAAGGUGGCUCAGUGGUAGAACGCUUGCCUUGCAUGCAUGAGGCCCUGGGUUCGAUUCCCCAAUACCA